CUUAGCUCAGUAGGUAGAGCAGUUGAUUCGUAAUCAAAAGGUCGUCAGUUCGAUUCUGAUAG
rnacentral:tRNA from 1 species